UUUAAGAUCCCGUACGGUGAAAACUCGCUAGUGCUAGAAGGACCGGGGUUCCCUAUCCGCUCCCAAUGUAUUGCCGUGCUUACCCGCUUGGAGACCGAACUGUCCCACUUGAACGGCCAUCAAGAAUCGAUGAAACCCUUGGUAACCAUGGCAACAGACGAGUAUCAAGUGACAUUCGAAGGCUGUAAUGCUUUGGCACCGCAUGAACCCAUGGACUCGUGUGGC